AGAAGUUAUUAUUUUGUUAGCUUGAAGCACUGAUAUAUGAUUUCUGUGCAACUGAAUAACCUAAGAACUUGAAAAUAUCUGUUUCUUUACCUCCAUACAGACUGAGUCUAACGCGCUGGCAUGUUGCUUAGCAUCCACGUUUUAAAAGCAUCCACAAUUUUAACCUCUGAGGCAGAGAAGAGGAACAGGAUGGAAGAUUCAAACAGCAGUUAAUCAGUCUCCUUGGACUUGACACGUCACUUUCUGAUGUAUUCCAUUAGCAAAGGGAAGCUUUUGUUAAUGGCUACAUUUGUUAUUCAUCCUGUGUGUGUGUGGAGGAGG
rnacentral:lncRNA from 1 species